AAAAACCCAAUCUCUCGCUGCCUCUGGAUUCUCGAUACGCCAUUGCUGCCGACAAUGCUCCAGUGCUCCCCGCUGCCUCUCGGUGCAGAACGACGAUGACGUAGAAUACCAGACGCCACCUCCCGCUCCCUAUCAUUUUCGUCGUCACGGACGUUGCAGAUCAGCCGAUAGUCCGACACCUACCGUUGCCUCCCUGUCCCUCUCGCUGUCGCCGCCAUCGACGGAGUAGAUCAUCCGCCAAUUUGCCACCUACCAUUGGUAUAUUAUGUAUCCUUAGGUAAUUCUUAGCUUUUUAAUUACAAGAAUAUAAAAACUGGAGGCUGAGGAGAGGCGCCUGAGACAGAGAAAAGUCAAGAAAGAAUUCACGAUGAUGUUGGAAGUAAGCUUUGUAGUGCUCAUGUAUUUUAAGCAACAUUUAGGAGUCCAAGGAACUUACAUCAUCAACAAGAUGGAGCAAGGCAGUAACAAUGUUUGAAGAUGAUGAACUGUUCAAGGCUGUGGAAAGAGACAGAUCGUGAAGAUCUCUUUAGAAACUAUUUAGUUGAUCUUCAGAAAAAGGAAAAUGCAAAUGCUCAAGAGAACUACCGAUAAUGAGGGAGAAAAUGGGACACUCUUUGUAGAGAUUUUGAAGAAAGUAUACUUCAAGGAAGGUUUCUUCCAUGUUGAUCGUCAACUGAGAAUUUGAUACGCACUCCAAAUGGAAAGCUAGCUAUACUUGAUUUUUAUCAAGAAAAGAUAAAGUUGGGUUCAGACAUCAAUAGCAGAGAAAGAUGAGUACUACUCAGAGAAAGGUGGCAUUCAAAGAUGAAAAUUGGCUUACCUAACACCGCAUUGAAUGUAUACGUUUUUUUUGUAUGAAGUAGAUUGAACAUUUUUGCUUUGGAGCUGUUUUUGUCUAAACUAAAAAUGUUUACUUGUAUAGUUUCACCUUUCAAAAUAGCCAACAGUUACAUUACUAUGGCUAUUUGUUAGCUAUAAUUAGUUUUUUUGCCUUUAGUCUUUACAAAGUUGUGUGAAACAUUUCAUUUCGGUAGUGAUGAUGAUGUCUUUUAAUAUAUUGAUGAGUUUACUUUGAUUG